rnacentral:rRNA from 1 species
UACAGAGGGUGCUAGCGUUGUUCGGAAUCAUUGGGCGUAAAGGGCGUGUAGGCGGUUUGUUAAGUCAUGUGUGAAAUCCCUCGGCUCAACCGGGGAACGACGCAUGAAACUGGCAAGCUAGAGUACCAAAGAGGGGGGUGGAAUUCCCGGUGUAGCGGUGAAAUGCGUAGAUAUCGUUUGGAACGCCAACGGUGAAAACAGACAGCUGGGAGUGUGCUGACGCUGAGACACGAAAGCCAGGGGAGCGAACGGG